GAAGUUCUUUUGCAGGAACCUGUAAAGGUUAUUGAUAACGAAGCGCUUGAAACGGUUUCGUCCGGUUCCCAUCUUUAGAAUAGUCCUACCAAACACAAAGGUUGUUCCAUUUGUGAAAGCCGAAUCCAGCACCAUAUUGGAGUAUGCACCUGUAAACACCGACAUGAUCCAGUUUGUCUACGAGGAAGCGCUCUUCAGGAAGGACGAAUGUCACUGGAAGAAUCCUCACGGUGACAAACACCGUAACUUCACGGAUGGAGCCCGUAUGCCGGACAUAGUGGCGCACAAUUGGUGGAAUGCCAUUCAUUAAGUCAGUGCAAAAGAUGCAUAUCCCAGGUCGUGUGUUCAGGCUUGUAUGGGGAUUUCUUCUAGCCUAGCAUCUAUGUUACAUUUGAAGUUAUUUUCGUACGGUUUUUCCGGCAAUCAGCUGUGGUUACUGAGUAUCAGUUGAGUUCAACAUCACAAGGAGGAGUAACACAAAAUAAUACUACCUCUGUCCAUGAGAGGAUGUCGCAAGUUUGUCUAAAUUGAGAUGUAUCUAUACACUCUUUAGUGUAUAGAUACAUCCGAAUUUAGACAAAUCCCUGACACUAUUUUAUGGAUGGAGGGAGUGUAACAUUUCACAGUGCAGUUCAAGUUCGUUCUGAACUGUCUAGCUACAUUCCUGAUUUACCAUCUAUUUCAGCUAGGGUUGGUAUAACAGGGGAAUAGAACACCGGGUUCCCAUGAAAAAACAUAAUUUUACCUUAAAUAUACUGCUUUCAUUUUUCA